rnacentral:rRNA from 1 species
UACGAAGGGGGCUAGCGUUGCUCGGAAUCACUGGGCGUAAAGGGUGCGUAGGCGGGUCUUUAAGUCAGGGGUGAAAUCCUGGAGCUCAACUCCAGAACUGCCUUUGAUACUGAGGAUCUUGAGUUCGGGAGAGGUGAGUGGAACUGCGAGUGUAGAGGUGAAAUUCGUAGAUAUUCGCAAGAACACCAGUGGCGAAGGCGGAGC